CUAUUCCUGGUGCCAAAGGACGUGCUAUGUCAUUUAAGCUGUAGAUCUCUAGUUGUAUGUGAAGACUAGUGGGCAGAUUAUUGCUAAGUUAUACAUUAUUUUUAUAGCUGUGAUAUUUUUUCUAUAUAUUAACAAGGAGCUGUGUUAUGUUUUACCUUAGGUCUGUGUUUUCUUUCCCAGGGGGGCGAGAUGUGAAGGCGACGCCAUUUUGUUGUGUGACAUUUUUCCUAUUCCAUUCUGUUGUUACUUUAGAAACAUUUAAUAAAUUGUUUUCCACUCCUUUU
rnacentral:misc_RNA from 1 species